GUUUGGAAAUUAAUAUAAGAAAAUGUGGUCUACAAAUCCCCUGCAGCCAUAAAAUGGUAAGAGAUCCUGUUCUUUGCAGGGACGUGAAUGGAGCUGGAGGCCAUUGUCUUCAGCAACGUAACUGAGGAAGAGAAAACCAAAUACUGCAUGUUCCACUUGGAUAUCCAACAGAAUGCAUGACUUUUUCUACAAAAACAUAUUUAUGUCAUUCACAACUGAACUCACUGAAAUGGAUGCUUUCAUGGUGGAACCAGGGCCUGAAGAACAGAAGAUUCAACAGAACAUUAACAAUGAAACCAGAUGAAGACCUGUGGAACAGAUGGAGGGCACACCCUGGGAUGGAGCCUUACAGAGACAGAUCUGUUAUCAAAUUUCUGCAAGUCACAUUUUACCACUUCUUGAGAAAAUAAGAACUGAAUAUAAGAAUAGUGUUAAAAGAGGUUCCUUAACCUGUCCAAAGUCACAUAUUUAGCAAGUCUUGAAUUGCCUAGACUUUUGAUGCAGAAGGCAGAAAUUAACCAAUAGGAUAAACUACUUCCUGAAAAAGAAAUUAGUUGAAAAUUAAUUCUGACGAAAGGAAAAGUGGCACAAAAACAUUGGGCAAGGACACAGGUUAGUAUUGAAGAAGUAAAAAUUCCCAUGUUGCUUUUACUUUCGGUUCAUACUAGUUUUUUAUUGUUCCUAUGCCUGAAAGGUUGGCAGGACACAUUGUACCUUUUUUUAUUUAAAUCUCGCUGGUAUGGAGUUUUGCUUUAUCUAAGAUACAGUUUUCCUUAUGAUAUGUUGGUCUUUGUGAAUUCCCAGUUGGAUAACUAAUAC
rnacentral:lncRNA from 1 species